AACUUACUCCCUCCGUCUGAAAAACUUGUCCCUCAAAUGGAUGUAUCUAGCACUAACUUUGUGCUAGAUACAUUAAUUUGAGGGACAAGCUUGAGACAAGUUUUUCGGAUGGAGGGAGCACCUG
rfam:Triticum urartu cultivar G1812 contig971822, whole genome shotgun sequence.